rnacentral:rRNA from 1 species
AGGACGAACGCUGGCGGCGUGCUUAACACAUGCAAGUCGAGCGGUGAUCCUCCUUCGGGAGGUGAUCAGCGGCGAACGGGUGAGUAACACGUGGGCAACCUGCCCCUCACACUGGGAUAACCUCGGGAAACCGGGGCUAAUACCGGAUACGACCUCGAGCGGCAUCUCUUGAGGUGGAAAGCUCCGACGGUGAGGGAUGGGCCCGCGGCCUAUCAGCUUGUUGGUGGGGUAAUGGCCUACCAAGGCGACGACGGGUAGCCGGCCUGAGAGGGCGACCGGCCACACUGGGACUGAGACACGGCCCAGACUCCUACGGGAGGCAGCAGUGGGGAAUAUUGCGCAAUGGGCGAAAGCCUGACGCAGCGACGCCGCGUGAGGGAUGAAGGCCUUCGGGUUGUAACCUCUUUCAGCAGGGACGAAGCGAAAGUGACGGUACCUGCAGAAGAAGCACCGGCUAACUACGCGCCAGCAGCCGCGGUAA